rnacentral:lncRNA from 1 species
ACCAAGGAAUGUUCCAUAAAACAGAACGUGACGUAGAAAAGAGUGGACAUUGAGUUCUGCAGUGGCGCUGUCAUUUGUUCUAAAAUCUAUUCUCUAUCCUUCCCUAACAAUUUCUUCAAAGCUUGAAAACAAGGGCCAAGUGAUGAAGACUGAAGUCAUUCCCUUUUUCUGUUGAGCAGAGCAACCUUGUGUUCAACAUUCAGCCAGCCCCAGCCAUGGUCUACGAUUACUAUGAAAAAGAAGAAUAUGCCCUAGCUUUUUACAACAUCGACAGUAGUUCAGUUUCCGAGUGAGACAAAGCAAUUACUAGAAGAGUUGGAGAAGCAUUUCUUGUAACAAACUGAUUCUUCUGUAUCAAACCUGGAAAAAAAUCAUGAACCAUCUGACAUCGUGAACAGUCUGCAGUGGGCUAUGGUUUCUUGUCAAGUCUUAUUUCCUUAUCAUCCCAUUAAAUGUUGUCAUUUUGC